AAAGAAAACUCGGUUAGUUUGUUUAAAGUCAACUCUCUCUGCUUUUUAUGUUUGAAACAUGAAAGAGAUGAAUGAAGGCAACAAAAUUCCUCUAAUCUGCCAUUUCUCUCUUCUUUUGAUUCCUCACAUAAUGACUCUCAAUAUCUUUCAUCUCCCCAUCAACAUCUUUUACUCAAACUGCUAAUUAAUAUCAUGUUUCUGCUGGUAUAUAACGCCAUUUAGAGAUCAAGUACAUGCUUCUUCUCAUAUAAUCAAAAACCCUUUAACUAGCCUAAAUUGCACGUAAGCAGAGAGAUAUAGAAAUAUCAUCAUCGUCUAAAACAGGAAAAAUAGAAAGAAAGAAUAUGCAUUCCGGGAACAACUGGGGAGGAUCAUUCGAGAUAAUGAAUGGAGCAGAGUCAACUGCGGAGGACCAGAGGAGCAGGAACAUCGAAUGGGACAGGGGAGCCUUGCACUCCCAACAACAUUAUCAUCAUAAUCAUAAUCUGGACGAGACACAGCAGAGCUGGUUACUCUAUCCUCAAGAAACCAAGAAGAAGAAGUAUAUCGACUUUGGCUGCAUAGUUUGCAGUCAUAAGGCCUUCAAGUGGACUCUCUAUUCCAUACUCAUUGCAUUCCUGGUGAUUGCACUCCCCACCAUCGUCGCCAAGACUUUGCCCAAGCACAAGUCUUCUCCUCCUCCUCCUGACAAUUACACUCUUGCCCUCCACAAGGCCCUCCUCUUUUUCAAUGCCCAGAGAUCUGGUAAAUUGCCCAAGAAUAAUGGCAUACCCUGGAGAGGGGAUUCAGGGCUGCAAGACGGAAACGAUACAGAUUUUAAGGCAGGGCUUGAUGGAGGAUAUUAUGAUGCUGGAGACAAUAUCAAGUUCCAUUUUCCUAUGGCAUAUACCAUGACAAUGUUGAGCUGGAGUCUCAUCGAAUACAAUCACAAAUAUAAGGCGAUUGGCGAAUAUAACCAUAUGCGAGAUCUCAUCAAGUGGGGUACUGAUUACUUGCUCUUGACAUUCAACUCUACCGCCACUAGAAUUGACAAAAUUUAUUCCCAGGUUGGUGGAUCUCUAAAUGGUUCUACAACACCAGAUGAUCAUUACUGCUGGGAAAGACCAGAAGAUAUGGAUUAUAGCCGACCUUCCAUACCCGUUACCACAGGCCCCGACCUUGCAGGAGAAAUGGCGGCAGCCUUAGCAGCAGCCUCAAUAGUGUUCCGAGACAACACUGCCUAUUCUAAGAAACUGGUAAAAGGUGCAGAAACUCUCUUUGCCUUUGCCAGGGACCCUGGAAGACGCAGAGCAUACUCUCGCGGACAGCCUUACAUUGAACCUUUCUACAACUCCACUGGCUAUUAUGAUGAGUACAUGUGGGGAGCUGCUUGGUUGUACUAUGCAACAGGAAAUGUUAGCUAUAUUGCAUUAGCAACCAACCCUGGCAUCCCUAAGAACUCCAAGGCAUUUUACAUGACUCUAGACUCACGUGUGCUGAGUUGGGAUAAUAAGUUACCUGCUGCCAUGCUUUUGUUAACCAGGUAUAGGAUAUUCCUGAGUCCAGGCUAUCCCUAUGAGGACAUGCUGCGCAUGUAUCACAAUGUCACUGGUCUUACUAUGUGUUCUUACCUGCAACAGUUCCAUGUAUACAACUGGACCAGAGGAGGAAUGAUCCAACUGAACCAUGGAAGGCCACAGCCGCUUCAGUAUGUGGCUAAUGCUGCCUUCUUGACGUCACUCUUUGUGGAUUAUCUGAAUGCCUCUGGUAUUCCAGGAUUGAACUGCGGUCCCAAUUUUAUUUCGUUAGUUGAUCUUCGGACCUUUGCCACCUCUCAGAUUGAUUACAUUCUAGGCAAAAAUCCCAUGAAUAUGAGUUAUGUGGUGGGUUACGGCACCAAGUUCCCAAGACACGUGCAUCACCGUGCAGCAUCAAUACCCCAUGACAAGAAGAGGUACUCAUGCACGGGUGGAUGGAAGUGGCGUGACAGCCGCAACCCCAAUCCUAAUAACAUUACAGGAGCUAUGGUUGGAGGGCCUGAUAGGUUUGACAAGUUCCAUGACGUGCGUACCAGUUAUAACUACACCGAACCUACCUUAGCUGGAAAUGCUGGCCUAGUUGCUGCUCUUGCCUCUCUGACUGUCAGUGGCGGCCAUGGCAUUGAUAAGAACACAAUUUUCUCAGCAGUUCCACCACUCUACCCCCAGAACCCACCGCCUCCUCCACCUUGGAAACCUUGAAGUAGGCUGGAACUUCUUUCAUAACUCAAGUGCGGGCAUAAACACAGUUUCAAGAGACAUGCUUUGACCAAGAGAAUGGAGAGUCUUCUUAGAUGGAACCAGGAAGCAACCAGAUUUUAUUACAAUUAAUUACUUGAGGUCGUUACAAAUGGGGUUAAUUGCAAAUGAAACUGUUUUCAUCCUCAAGAUUUGGAGAUGUGAAAACAUUCAUUACUGCAAAUAGCAAGAACCUGGUUCUAGAGGGGCUCCUCGGCCAGGUCCAGCAACUGGAGCUGCUGCCACUCCUCUUUGAUUCAACAGACACCUGAAGUGUGCCAAUCUUCCAGUAACUUCCCUUGGAUUCUUGGCAAGCUUGUCAUAAGAUGUCCAUAGUCGCUCUUCACACACAGACAUUCAAAGCAGAAAGGAUAUAGUUAGUUAAAAUGUCAGAACACCAUUCUACUGCAAUAGGUUACUUGGAUCAAUAAAGAGUACUACACCAUGAAUGACCUUACUUAUUAGAGACCAAACAACCUUCUACUGAAAAAUCCAAACCUUUUUUUGUACAAUUUCAUAUACCAUCACUACCAUUCACAUGUAUUCCCCCUUUGGUAGAUUGCGCAUGUAUUGCAAUUCCAAACUUAGAACCAUAUAAAUCAUAGCCUCAGAUAUCAUGCUAAACUGCCUUUUCUUCCUAAAAGUUUUAACUGAUAAGAAGAAAAUAGGCAAGUAUUUCAGACAGCAAUAGUAAUCAUGCAUUCACUAAGACUGCUUUAGGAUGUUGUGGCAAUGGCUUCAUUAACUCAAUAGUUAAUCGUAAAGAAAUUUUAGAUUUAUAAAUCACCACAAUUUUCAGUUGGAAAUUGCCAACAAUUUGAUGAUUUUGAAUUAUUGUGUUACAGAAAACCAAUUCAUCCUAUAAUCUAAAAUAUUUGUUACUUAACCAGGCCUGUAUCAGAAUAAUGCUUCAUUUUGUAUAUCAUUAUUUAUAUAUGGUAUAACUAUAUAAUAAUGCAUAUAAGUACCUGCAGCUGCCGCAGCACGUGGCCAUAUGGUUUGUUCAAUGUUGGAUGCAUCAACUGUUUCUCCCCACAUGCAUACUUCACCCCCAAUAACCAACUUCUGUUGCUCGAUGUUAGUGAUGUUUGUGAGUGGUUCAUUCAUAUAGAAUUCUUGCCAUGUAGUAUCCAAGUGAUCUAAAUACCAUUGGUCCUGGUUGCUCACAAUGCACCUCAACCCAGAAGCAACAACUUGCUGAGCAACACCACCACCAAGCCUGCAAGGGCAAAUGAAGCAAGGCAUUACCUGAAAGGAUUCCAUCUAUCACUUUAAAUGUAAACUCAUUGCUGACAUCAAGUGGUUGCUGACAAUCCUUUGAUGGCCAUAAAGAAGGAUAGCCCUUUCCCCUAUAAAAAGAAGAAAAAAAAAGGGCAAAACUGCCAUUAAGUUUCUUGGAGACUUUGUAUGCAACAAAGAUGCCAUAAGCAUUUUUUUUCUUCUGGUUUUUUCAAACUUUUUCAAAAGAAGUGCUUCUAUUUGGUGACAAUCAUCAAACACCAAUUUGAGUGGGCAGUAAAAGCCAUUAGCUAGUUGAAAACUGAAGUAUAUUACAUGAACAAUCCUACCCAUCAGUACUUUUGUACACCAUAGUUUCCUUCCUGCUUACUGCCUUUAAUUUGUAAGCCCCAGACUAUCACCAUGAAACCAGACAAUGGACUUUAGAUGCCUGUCAUGUCAUUUUUCGGUUCAGGGUAAAGUUUACUGAGGCUAAUCGUAAAAGCUCCUUGAAAAUUACCAGAGGGUACACUGAUCUAUAGAAUACUGUAUUUCUAGCCAAACUGAAAUAAGGGCUGUGCUUCAUUGUGUGAUGGUAAUUGACAUAACCUCUUCUCUUUUAUCAUCUAUAAACUCUA